AACGAACGCUGGCGGCAUGCCUAACACAUGCAAGUCGAACGAGACCUUCGGGUCUAGUGGCGCACGGGUGCGUAACGCGUGGGGACCUGCCCUUAGGUUCGGAAUAACUCCCCGAAAGGGGUGCUAAUACCGGAUAAUGUCUUCGGACCAAAGAUUUAUCGCCUUUGGAUGGGCCCGCGUUGGAUUAGCUAGUUGGUAGGGUAAAAGCCUACCAAGGCGACGAUCCAUAGCUGGUCUGAGAGGAUGAUCAGCCACACUGGGACUGAGACACGGCCCAGACUCCUACGGGAAGCAGCAGUGGGGAAUAUUGGACAAUGGGCGAAAGCAUGAUCCAGCAAUGCCGCGUGAGUGAUGAAGGCCUUAGGGUUGUAAAGCUCUUUUACCCGGGAUGAUAAUGACAGUACCGGGAGAAUAAGCUCCGGCUAACUCCGUG
rnacentral:rRNA from 1 species